rnacentral:rRNA from 1 species
UAGAGUUUGAUCAUGGCUCAGAUUGAACGCUGGCGGCAGGCCUAACACAUGCGAGUCGAGCGGAAACGACACUAACAAUCCUCCGGGUGCGUUAAUGGGCGUCGAGCGGCGGACGGGUGAGUAAUGCCUAGGAAAUUGCCUUGAUGUGGGGGAUAACCAUUGGAAACGAUGGCUAAUACCGCAUAAUGCCUAAGGGCCAAAGAGGGGGACCUUCGGGCCUCUCGCGUCAAGAUAUGCCUAGGUGGGAUUAGCUAGUUGGUGAGGUAAUGGCUCACCAAGGCGACGAUCCCUAGCUGGUCUGAGAGGAUGAUCAGCCACACUGGAACUGAGACACGGUCCAGACUCCUACGGGAGGCAGCAGUGGGGAAUAUUGCACAAUGGGCGAAAGCCUGAUGCAGCCAUGCCGCGUGUAUGAAGAAGGCCUUCGGGUUGUAAAGUACUUUCAGUUGUGAGGAAGGGGGUAGCGUUAAUAGCGCUGUCUCUUGACGUUAGCAACAGAAGAAGCACCGGCUAACUCCGUGCCAGCAGCCGCGGUAAUACGGAGGGUGCGAGCGUUAAUCGGAAUUACUGGGCGUAAAGCGCAUGCAGGUGGUUCAUUAAGUCAGAUGUGAAAGCCCGGGGCUCAACCUCGGAACUGCAUUUGAAACUGGUGAACUAGAGUACUGUAGAGGGGGGUAGAAUUUCA